GUUUAAAGGGUGCGUAGGCGGACCCGUUAGUCAGUGGUGAAAGUUUGCAGCUCAACUGUAAAAUUGCCAUUGAAACUGCGGGUCUUGAGUGUAAAUGAGGUAGGCGGAAUGUGUUGUGUAGCGGUGAAAUGCUUAGAUAUAACACAGAACACCAAUUGCGAAGGCAGCUUACUGGGAUACAACUGACGCUGAGGCACGAAAGCGUGGGGAUCAAACAGGAUUAGAUACCCUGGUAGUCCACGCAGUAAACGAUGAAUACUUGCUGUAUGCGAUAUACUGUAUGUGGCAAAGCGAAAGCGUUAAGUAUUCCACCUGGGGAGUACGUUCGCAAGAAUGAAACUCAAAGGAAUUGACGGGGGCCCGCACAAGCGGAGGAACAUGUGGUUUAAUUCGAUGAUACGCGAGGAACCUUACCCGGGCUUGAAAUGCAUCUGACCGACGAGGAAACUUGUCUUCUAGCAAUAGCAGAUGUGUAGGUGCUGCAUGGUUGUCGUCAGCUCGUGCCGUGAGGUGUCGGCUUAAGUGCCAUAACGAGCGCAACCCCUAUCAUUAGUUACUAACAGGUAAUGCUGAGGACUCUAGUGAGACUGCCACCGUAAGGUGUGAGGAAGGUGGGGAUGACGUCAAAUCAGCACGGCCCUUACGUCCGGGGCGACACACGUGUCACAAUGGGGGGUACAGAGGGUUGCUACUUGGUGACAAGAUGCUAAUCUCUUAAAGCCUCUCUCAGUUCGGAUCGAAGUCUGCAACUCGACUUCGUGAAGCUGGAUUCGCUAGUAAUC
rnacentral:rRNA from 1 species